GGAAGGUACGGUUGGAGCCUUCCGACCCGCUCUUCUCCGAUUCUCCGGCCCCUCUGUGUCUUGACGCGUCCCCCGCGGAGACCGCCGCGAAGAAGCUUGCGGCCUCCAUACCGAGUCUAAUGGCUCGUUUCCUCCUUCGGAAGAAGCUCUCCUCCUCCACUCCUCUCCCACCCAAUCUCCACGAUACCAUGAUUCGCUCAAUUUUAUUGGAGUUGGAUUUUAAUACCCGGUUACACGCUUGGUGCAGCUUCAGAUGUUUGAGCAGUUAUCACAUCUCUGGGAAGUUCGACUUGACUGACUUGACUCAACCACAUACAUGGUAUCCAAAUGCUCGGAGAAAGAAGCGCAAUGUAUUUUUGCAUGUUGGUCCUACAAACAGUGGAAAAACAUAUAAUGCUCUAAAGCGGUUAGAGUCAAGCUCCUCAGGAGUAUAUUGUGGGCCUCUAAGAUUACUGGCAUGGGAGGUGGCACAGAGAUUAAAUAAAGCUAAAGUUUCUUGUAAUUUGAUUACUGGACAAGAAAGAGAGGAAAUUGAUGGUGCAAAGCACAGCUCAGUAACAGUUGAAAUGGCUGAUGUGACCAGCGAAUACCAGUGUGCUGUUAUUGAUGAAAUCCAGAUGGUGGGGUGUAGAACAAGGGGGUUUUCAUUCACACGUGCAUUAUUAGGGAUUUCUUCAGAUGAACUUCAUCUUUGUGGAGAUCCAGCAGCUGUUCCUCUUAUUCAGAGAAUACUUGAAGUGACAGGAGAUGUGAUCAAGGUUCAAUAUUAUGACAGACUCUUGCCUCUGAUUCCUUUGAAAUAUCCACUUGGAUCUUUCUCCAACAUCAAUACAGGGGACUGUAUUGUAACUUUCUCAAGACGCGAGAUAUACAAGUUGAAGAAAAAAAUUGAAAAUGGAGGAAAACAUCUUUGUUCUGUAGUCUAUGGCUCAUUACCACCAGAGACUCGAACAAAGCAGGCAACAAUGUUUAAUGAUGAAAGUAGUGAGUUUGAUGUUCUUGUAGCCAGCGACGCUAUCGGCAUGGGUCUCAAUCUGAAUAUUUCUAGAAUCAUCUUUUCAACAUUGAAAAAAUUUGAUGGUGUUUAUAACCGAGAACUGACAGUACCAGAAAUCAAACAGAUUGCAGGGAGGGCAGGGAGAUAUGGAUCUAAAUUUCCAAUUGGUGAAGUGACUUGUUUAGAUGCAGAAGAUCUACCUUUGCUUCAUUCAUCUCUGGAAUCUCCCUCUCCUGUUUUGGAGCGUGCUGGACUGUUUCCUACUUUUGAUCUUUUGUCCCUGUAUUCACGAUUGCAUUCAACAACUACUUUCCACCCCAUACUGGAACAAUUCUUAGAGAAGGCCAAGUUAUCUCCAGAUUACUUCAUUGCUGACUGUGAGCACAUGCUGAAGGUUGCCGCUGUUGUUGAUACGUUCCCCCUUGGGUUGUAUGAUAAGUACCUUUUCUGCCUCAGUCCAGUUGACAUGAACGAUGAUAUUGCAGCCCAGGGUUUGACGCAGUUUGCAGAAAACUAUGCAAAGAAGGGCCUUGUUAGACUUAGAGAAAUAUUUACACCUGGAACACUUCAGGUGCCUAAAUCACAGAAUGCACUCAAGGAGCUUGAAUCCAUUCACAAGGUCCUUGAUCUCUAUGUGUGGCUGAGCUUCCGAAUGGAAGAUUCGUUUCCAGACCGUGAACUGGCUUCUUCUCAGAAGGCAAUCUGUAGCUUAUUGAUUGAAGAGUUUUUGGAGAGACUCGGAUGGCAGAGGCAAGGAAAAGGAAGCUAUCGGCACAGCCCCCUUUAUCUGCAGCAAAAAAUAUCAAUGCACUUGACUGUACGGCCUUUACAUUACUGAAAUCCACAUGGAAUCUCUGUAAGGGCCAUUUGACCAAGAUCACACCGUUGCUAGAAAUGCAGCUGAAUUUACAAUCACUCCUGACCCCCACAACUCCUGCCCCUUCUCUUUUUCCACCAUCAACAAUCAACGGAAGUAUGGUUCAUGUCAAUGGAUAUCGAAGUCUGUAAAGGAUAUGGUUCAACUGCUGAGCAUGCUGUGCCAUCAAAAUCCUUAAGUUUAUUGUUUUGUAAAAUUUGAAUGCAGCCACAGAUUAGCUAUGUUCACUUUUGGGGUAUUUUUCUAAAUGUAUACAGCCUUCACUUUUUUCAGCUGGCUUGCGGAAUAAUGGCAGAAAAAAACAGCAAUGUAUCAAGGUAUUGGCAUGUACAAUGAUUGGACAGUGAGGGAAGACGCAUUCGAAUCCAUCGCAUCGUGAUGCAUUAUUUCAUGAUCGCAAUAAGAUUUAUUUUGAAGCAGUUAAACUAGAUCAUGAGGGAUGAUUAAUCUUCAUUCACCCUGUACCAGCAUCACUGGCAGGAGCUUGGUCAUCUGGUUUCCAUCUCAACUUCAUUGGAUCAAAAUUACCAUAACCAUAAUACUAAUUGUCAGUGAGAUACUAAAUAUUGGUUUGAAGAAGGGAAAAAAGGUGUCCCUGCCCCCUGGAGAGUAUGCAGUUUGGUGUAAGGUAAACUUAGGGCCUGUCUGGUAUUGUUGCUGUUUUUGCAUUUUUAUUUCUCUACAAAUUAAUCAAAUCCUACAUGGAGGUGGACUUUGGCA